GUGUUAGCUACAGUAAAAAAUUCCGCGUUAAACGCGGUUUUCCCAAUUACCUUGAGGUCGCAAUUUCCCAAUUUGGGUCAGCCAAAAAAUAGUUAUAGAAAUUCAAUGUUGUUAAUUCGCCAUUACAAACAUGUUAAAAACUACAUUGGCUCAAAAUUACUCCCAAAAUGCGGGAAAUGCCAUUUCAAAGACACAAAAAUUUUAAAAAUCGAGAGGGGGCAACCGCAUGCCCCCAGACCCCCACAAAAAAAUGCCCGGCUUCAGGCUAAAAUAAAUUUCCCAAUUUCAGGUGAACGCGGAUUUUUUUUACUUCUGGCUAACACCCUGAUAUCCUAUGGAUCAGAAAUUGUUUUCUUGAUGGAGAAUUUGCAAAUCAUUGCCAUUGGAUCCGAAGUAUUAUUAUUCGAUUUUAAUUGACUUUUAAACGAACAAAGGUGUGCAUGCACUGCAGUUUAAUCCAAAU
rnacentral:lncRNA from 1 species